rnacentral:rRNA from 1 species
AUUGAACGCUGGCGGCAGGCCUAACACAUGCAAGUCGAGCGGAUGAAGGGAGCUUGCUCCUGGAUUCAGCGGCGGACGGGUGAGUAAUGCCUAGGAAUCUGCCUGGUAGUGGGGGAUAACGUCCGGAAACGGGCGCUAAUACCGCAUACGUCCUGAGGGAGAAAGUGGGGGAUCUUCGGACCUCACGCUAUCAGAUGAGCCUAGGUCGGAUUAGCUAGUUGGUGGGGUAAAGGCCUACCAAGGCGACGAUCCGUAACUGGUCUGAGAGGAUGAUCAGUCACACUGGAACUGCGACACGGACAAGACUCCUACGGGAGGCAGCAGUGGGGAAUAUUGGACAAUGGGCGAAAGCCUGAUCCAGCCAUGCCGCGUGUGUGAAGACGGUCUUCGGAUUGUAAAGCACUUUAAGUUGGGAGGAAGGGCAGUAAGUUAAUACCUUGCUGUUUUGACGUUACCAACAGAAUAAGCACCGGCUAACUUCGUG